UACGUAGGCAGCGAGCGUUGUUCGGAAUUACUGGGCGUAAAGAGUGUGUAGGCGGUGCUCUAAGUUCGGUGUGAAAUCUCCCGGCUUAACUGGGAGGGUGCGCCGGAAACUGGAGUGCUCGAGCGUGGGAGAGGAAAGCGGAAUUCCUGGUGUAGCGGUGAAAUGCGUAGAUAUCAGGAGGAACACCAGCGGUGUAGACGGCUUUCUGGACCACAGCUGACGCUGAGACACGAAAGCGUGGGUAGCAAACAGG
rnacentral:rRNA from 1 species